AUUGAACGCUGGCGGCAGGCCUAACACAUGCAAGUCGAGCGGGGGUAGCAAUACUCUAGCGGCGAACGGGUGAGGAAUGCUUGGGAAUCUGCCUGGUGGUGGGGGAUAACGUUCCGAAAGGAACGCUAAUACCGCAUACGUCCUACGGGAGAAAGGGGGGGAUCUUCGGACCUCUCGCUAUCAGAUGAGCCCAAGCGGGAUUAGCUAGUUGGUGAGGUAAAGGCUCACCAAGGCGACGAUCCCUAGCUGGUCUGAGAGGAUGAUCAGCCACACUGGAACUGAGACACGGUCCAGACUCCUACGGGAGGCAGCAGUGGGGAAUAUUGGACAAUGGGCGAAAGCCUGAUCCAGCCAUGCCGCGUGUGUGAAGAAGGCCUUCGGGUUGUAAAGCACUUUAAGCGAGGAGGAAGGUUCGUCACCUAAUACGUGACGGAAUUGACGUUACUCGCAGAACAAGCACCGGCUAACUCUGUGCCAGCCGCCGCGGUAAAAC
rnacentral:rRNA from 1 species